UGCAGCCUAUGGCAUCGUAACUGUCAUCCCUAUCGGGUGUCCAACGAUCUAUUUAUCACUGUCACUGUCUGGUGACUAAUUUCAGGACGCGGAUAGAGAUAAAUCAUAAGGUCGUUUGGAAGCCUGGUGUGUGUGUGUGUGCUAACUGCCGCAGAGCGCUCUAUCUACAGCUACCAUGGUCAUCUACAGCACCGACCGUCCGUGGAACUACGACUGCAGCUUCGUGGCUGGCAGCGGGAGGAGGAAGCAUUUCCGCCAGGAGGUGUACAUGGUGUUCCCGCCUACCUACUCCUCCGGACACCACGGGUCGGCUUCCUACUUCACCAAGCCCACCGCCGCAGUCCGCCUCAAGCUCAACAGGUCGCCGACUGCCCGUAGGAGUAGGAAUCACUCCUUCUACACCCGGAACUUCACCAUCCCCAUGGGAGUGAUCACCACCCGCUAGACCCCCGGGGUGGGUGCGGUAGACCCCCGGGGAUGGGUGCGGUCGGAUUGCUCGUGGACAGAAGAAGAGUCGCUCCACCACCAGGUAGUUUCAUCUGCAGUUCCGUCGCAGCUCGCUAGGAACUGCCAUCUCCCGCCACGCGCUGAAGGCUUUUGUGUGCUGUGGGCCCAGUGAUUGUGUUUCAUCGUGUCACCAACAGAUGUAGACGAGUGAUCGUGAAUACACGGAAUGCAGGGUCCUCAAACCAGUCAACUGUAGUAGUGUAGCGUAGUGUAGUCUGUCGGUUGGAUUGUAGACCCUCCGUUGAGUCCUUUCCGUGUACGCGUACCGUACUGAGUCUUCUUACGACUACAUCAAUCAAGUGAUCUUGGCAUCUGUCAUCUACCAGCAAAGCACUACAUCGUAAGGUCGUCAACGGUACACAACACUUGCCCCAUGCACUUAUUGUUACUUUGCCCAGCUUUUAAGUCAACAUGAUAUUAAUAUCAUUUACACGGAAAGUCUAACUAUGAAGUAGUUCAACCAGACAACUCAAAUGUAUGAAGUGUACAACUUAUUGUUACAAAUGUGCUCGCUAAGAGUCUUUGCGGGUAAAAUUUCACAACGCUCUAUAAGCUUACUACAAUAGACAAUAAACUAGCCACACUGAACUUACAAGGAUCACUGAGAAUACCCGUACAGGUUGUGAGAAUGACAAUAAGCUCGUUCGCCACUCCUAGCGCGCAUGUGAAGCAAAAGGAACUGUGGGUAAUGCUUAAUAGGUGAGAGCCCCUAAGACAUAAACAAAACAAAGUCUGGACAUUGUUAUACAAUGGUCGCGACGAGAACUAUUUGCAAGUCAAGGGCUUUCACCUUUGACAUAUUACCCACAAGACCUGUCGCUGCGCAUGCGUGGUCGAAUGGCAAAUGAGCGUAUUGUCAUGGCGGGAAGCUGGAGCGCUCUUGAAUGUCUUACAAAAAUCAUCAUUGAAUGGUCAUCUGUAUACAUGUACGGAUAUACCUAAAGUGGACAUAUGACAAAUACCUGUUAUAUAUACAUAUUAGUAUCUAUUUGCAGGCCUUCUUGAAAGUUUAUCGUGGUUAGUUUAUUGCUGAUUGUAGUGAAUUUAUGGAGUAUUGUGGUGGAUUGUCGACACGUGUAAGAACCAUUGUGGUCAGUCUAUACUGUCCAUUGUAGUACGUCUAUCGAAUGUUGUGGAAGUCUACUUACCAAUUGCGCUAUCUGUAUAUACUUAGUUUACGUAUAAUAUGUAAGACAGCAUGCUCUCAUCUGGCUAUGAAAUAGUGUUGUAAGUAAUGAAAUAAGAAAUACUUGAAUUUUCCCUACCCAAAUUGAUCCAUCCCCUUCGGUAAAGCUGCUAUUAAAACCAUCAACAGUUGCAAAAGAAGAGAUGCCUGUAGUAGGCCUCAGUGUAUUUGUACACAACCACUCGUUUGUUUACGUUUCUCAAAGUAUUUGCUACACCGUUGACGCAUACUACAUUAUUGGCUAUGUUUUGCUGUCUAUAGUGCUGUGGUUUUAAAACUGGGUUGCUCUUCUCUUGCGAACGGUUCGAACAGACAUCGUGGCAUGGUUCAACUGUAUUGAAUCCGGGAAACGCCGGAGAAACCGACAAUGUUGACAUGUUUUGCCGUAGCCUGUAUAUAUAUAUUGUGUAUACUGUGCUGUAAAUGUAUAGGGCUGUUAAGGAUCGUUAGACCUAGAGACUUAGGUCGCCAAGGUUAUGUCUUGUUGAUCCACAGUCUUUGUCUAGUGCAGGAGGUCUGCACUAGUAGUGAAUGUACUGUCCAACUGUCCACAAGGUAGACGUAAUGUCCCAGUGCUUGUAAGAAUGUUGCUAACACAGUGUGCAAAUUUCUAUAGCAAACUUCAAGUUAGCCAACGUAGUUACUCAUUCAUCAAAAUAGCAAAAUUUACUCCAUUAUACGUUACAGGUUUUUUUAAAUAUAAACUGUUAGGUAAGGCUGAUAUUUUGGUUCUAUGUGUACAAUGCAAGGAAUGCAUGCGGGCCUCUGUUGUACUGCAGUACACCCUGUAACUAAAUUUAGAUAACAUGUGUUUGUAUCUGUACAUCAAUAUAUGUCCACUCACUGUAUCGUGUUUAAUGUACAGUGUAAAAAUGUAGCUUCUUUUGAACAUGUAUCCUUCAAUUGGUUGGUGUAGAGUACCAUACUCUUAUGUAUUUCAUCACGUAUGAUAAUGACAUUUCUCGUUGUUGCAUGUGUAUUAUAAAACAGAUCGGAAAGAAACAAAUUAUAAACACUAAAACGUCAAAAAAUCUGUUGGGAUGUAUAAUCUUUAACACAUGAAAACACCAAAAAUGUUUUGAGAUGAUAAUCGUUUGCGGCGUUGCCAUAUAACUAACGGACAGAAACUGUGCUUUGUGCUUUUUUUGCCUACCCUUUUAUGGAAUUGCUUCAAAUGGUUGUAUGGCGGGAGAAAUAAAAGAACUGAAACGACGA